rnacentral:rRNA from 1 species
AGAGGGUGCAAGCGUUGUUCGGAAUUACUGGGCGUAAAGCGUGCGUAGUCGGUAUUGAGAGUCACGGGUGAAAUCCCAGGGCUUAACCCUGGAACUGCCUGUGAGACCUCAGUACUAGAGUGUGAGAGGGGAUAGUGGAAUACCCAGUGUAGCGGUGAAAUGCGUAGAGAUUGGGUGGAACACCGGUGGCGAAGGCGGCUAUCUGGCUCACAACUGACGAUCAGGCACGAAAGCGUGGGGGAGCAAACAGGAUUAGAUACCCUGGUAGUCCACGCCGUAAACUAUGCACACAAGCUGUAGUGGGAUUUUACUCCUGCUGUGGCGAAGCUAACGCAAUUAGUGUGCCGCCUGGGGAGUACGGUCGCAAGACUA